rnacentral:rRNA from 1 species
AUACGGAGGGUGCAAGCGUUAUCCGGAUUCAUUGGGUUUAAAGGGUGCGCAGGCGGACUUGUAAGUCAGUGGUGAAAUCCCGGGGCUCAACCUCGGAACUGCCAUUGAUACUGCAAGUCUUGAGUUUGGUUGAAGUGGGCGGAAUGUAGCAUGUAGCAGUGAAAUGCGUAGAUAUGCUACAGAACACCGAUCGCGAAGGCAGCUCACUAAACCAACACUGACGCUCAGGCACGAAAGCGUGGGGAGCGGACAGGAUUAGAAACCCCGGUAGUCC